rnacentral:rRNA from 1 species
AUUGAACGCUGGCGGCAGGCCUAACACAUGCCAGUCGAGCGGAUGAAGGGAGCUUGCUCCUGGAUUCAGCGGCGGACGGGUGAGUAAUGCCUAGGGAUCUGCCUGGUAGUGGGGGAUAACGUCCGGAAACGGGCGCUAAUACCGCAUACGUCCUGAGGGAGAAAGUGGGGGAUCUUCGGACCUCACGCUAUCAGAUGAGCCUAGGUCGGAUUAGCUAGUUGGUGGGGUAAAGGCCUACCAAGGCGACGAUCCGUAACUGGUCUGAGAGGAUGAUCAGUCACACUGGAACUGAGACACGGUCCAGACUCCUACGGGAGGCAGCAGUGGGGAAUAUUGGACAAUGGGCGAAAGCCUGAUCCAGCCAUGCCGCGUGUGUGAAGAAGGUCUUCGGAUUGUAAAGCACUUUAAGUUGGGAGGAAGGGCAGUAAGUUAAUACCUUGCUGUUUUGACGUUACCAACAGAAUAAGCACCGGCUAACUUCGUG